CACUUGGAUUUUCUAAUAAACCUGAAAGGUCAUGAUCCAUAUAAGGAGUCACCAUAUAUAUAGAACCACGACGUCGAUGCUUCUUGUCUGCACGAACAACAGUCAUAUCAGAUAAUGGAAUAAUAUUCUCGUGUUUAAUCGAUUUUAAAAUUUUUAUUUCGCGAAUGGCUGUAAUGGGAAACUAAAAUGUAAUGCUUUAGUAUUUAUUCAUGAAUUAAUUAAAACAAUUAACGCAAUCAAGUCGAUGCGUCCCAAGUCAUUCUGUCAAAAUGAACAAGAAUCUAAACAAACAUCUACUUACACCUUCCUUUUCAGUAUGCAUGAGUAUUCUUUUCAGCGCAUAUACCUUCCCGUCCUUACGCCGCUGCGAUUUGUAAACUUCGCUGGUGAACCAAGUUAGUGAUAAAAUUCAAAAUCAGAUAUUUGACACAUACCCAAAUGUUCCUUCUCCUAAUUUUUCCAUUAAAUGAUAAUCCGUUAAAUGGCUGCACCCUACAAAAUGAAGUUUGGGUACGACAUCUAAUUUUCUCCUUGCUGAUUUCUCAUCUUCGACAGAAACGCUGCUUGAGCGUUUCAUUUUUUUAACUUAUAUUAUACAAAAGAUCCCAACGAUUAGUGAAUAAAGUUAAUUAUACAAAUUGUAGUAUAAACCCGAUCGAUGCGCGAAAUGUUGCAUCUGAUGAGGAUAUAGUGGAAGUGGACCCAACUAUCAACUAUAUGCAUUAAAUACGGAGGCGAAGUAAAAUGCGCUAUGUUUCAAAAUGAGAAAACAAUACUGUAAGUAUAGAGAAUAAACAAUGCUUUUUAUAAAGGGAAAAAGUUGCAUUAGUUUUAAAUAUCUUUCAAAGGACUCCCUAAUCUCAAAUAAAUGCGCAAAGUUUACAAUUUAUGAAUCAGGAAAGAGUAGUUAUUAAAACUCAGGAAUAGUACGUACUAAAUUUAGAAAAAGAUAGUUGAAUAGACUGAAAAAGACAUUCAAACUAUAAGAGGUAUGCAAAGGCCUUAAGCUGACGGGGUGCUCAGGGUGCUCAUGUUUUACAUGCGGGAACAAUGAACGUGCAUUAAAAUAUUAUAGACAUUAAGCGAAUUAAUUAGGUCGUUAG